GGAGCUGUAGGAGAAACACAAAUUACGUCAGACACACAGACUGAUGCGACAAAACCAACAUGGCUGGUAAGGACAUGAGGAGGAAACAGUAGGAGCUGUGUGAGGCUACUAAAGGCAGUGGAUCCCUCAGCAGCUGGAUUACAAAGAGCACAGUCUCAGAUCAACACAGCUCAGCCCUCCAGCACUAUCAGCAGCAGGAGCAGCAGCAACCCCUCAACAGCAACAUUGUACCCAUCAGCUUUGAGCACCCGCCCCUGUAAACGUCUCUGCACGGCCCUGACAACCGGAUUUAAAGUUGCCUCCUCCAAGCUCCACCCUCCCUCUUAGGAUGAACAUAAACAUUUCUUUGCACAGAUGUUCGGUCGUCUCCUCCUACUUGACUCCUUCCUGACCCGCAGUGUGCAUAAAACAACGCUGUGUUCCUCAUCUCACGGUAACUUUCUUUUAGGGUUGUGUUCUUGUUUUUCUGUCUAUUGAGCGUUUCUGCUAAUGAG
ensembl:lncRNA